GCUUAACCUGAGGCCUGUUGCACAAAAGUAGAAUGAAGAAAUCCUGGAUAACUGAAAAAGCGCAGCUUGACUUAGCGUGAUCCGCUCAUCGCGGCAUAGUCAGUUGCACGUUUAUCAAGCCAGGAUGAGAAGGUGAAGAAGCAAUGUCAAGCCAGGGGUAGAUAGUUGGGAUAAGUGCACGUCCACGGCUUUCUUAAACAAACCACGAUAUCGAUCACAGAUUUACUGAUGCAGAGAUGGAGAAGACGCGUGCGGCAUAUUUUUCACCCGCUGAACAGCAACUAAUUAUGGAAAGUUACGAGGAGGUAAAGCAUAUAAUAUGCAGAAAAGAAAUAUGGCUGCUGUUAUUAAACAGAGAGAAAAAGCCUGGCAGACAGUAGCGGACCGACUGAAUGCAACAAAUGUGACUGGGCAAAAAAGAACCUGGCAACAAGUCAAGAUCAAAUAUGAAAACAUUUUGCAGGCUGGUGGAAGGGGCUUCUGCAGUAUGGGAAGGGGCUGCUGCAGCUGAGGAUGAGAAGACUGUGUCACUGGACACCAGAAGGCUUGAGGUAUCAUUUCAAUCUUAUGGAAAUGCAUAUUUAGCCCAUUAUGGAUGAGAAGUCAGUGAUGUAGCACUCAGAAAUGUAUGUAACAGGAUCCAGACGCAGUACAGUCUGACAGCCAGCCUGGCAACAUAGUAAGUAUGGGCUAAUGGGAAUCUAAAUUAUGCACAAUUCCUGUUGUGCUAAUCAAUGGGUCUGUAUACACGACAUCUGAAAAAGCAAAUGGAGCUGGCAGAUGCACAGAUUGCUGUAAGCAAAAGGACUCCCCAGGAUCUGGACCUUGGUAUAGAAAUCAAGAAGAAAAACACUGAGGAAACUGGAUCUGGCGAUACAGAUACUAGAAAAAUAAGUUAGUGACUUCAAUCCACACUGUAAGCAUAUCUGUAAAACAAUGUAUUAAUCAUGUUUUUCUUUUUCUCUCCCAAGCUCCAAACUGACAAGUGACAGCACUAAAAU
ensembl:lncRNA